rnacentral:rRNA from 1 species
AGUGAACGCUGGCGGUAGGCCUAACACAUGCAAGUCGAACGGCAGCACAGUAAGAGCUUGCUCUUACGGGUGGCGAGUGGCGGACGGGUGAGGAAUACAUCGGAAUCUACUUUUUCGUGGGGGAUAACGUAGGGAAACUUACGCUAAUACCGCAUACGACCUACGGGUGAAAGCAGGGGAUCUUCGGACCUUGCGCGAUUGAAUGAGCCGAUGUCGGAUUAGCUAGUUGGCGGGGUAAAGGCCCACCAAGGCGACGAUCCGUAGCUGGUCUGAGAGGAUGAUCAGCCACACUGGAACUGAGACACGGUCCAGACUCCUACGGGAGGCAGCAGUGGGGAAUAUUGGACAAAGGGCGCAAGCCUGAUCCAGCCAUACCGCGUGGGUGAAGAAGGCCUUCGGGUUGUAAAGCCCUUUUGUUGGGAAAGAAAAGCAGCAGGUUAAUACCCCACUGUUCUGACGGUACCCAAAGAAUAAGCACCGGCUAACUUCGUG